rnacentral:rRNA from 1 species
AGUGAACGCUGGCGGCGUGCUUAACACAUGCAAGUCGAAGGGAGUGGCGAACGGGUGAGUAACACGUGAGUAACCUGCCCUUUUCUUUGGGAUAAGCCUGGGAAACUGGGUCUAAUACUGGAUGGAUUGGGAUGGGCUCGCGGCUUAUCAGCUUGUUGGUGGGGUGAUGGCUUACCAAGGCUUUGACGGGUAGCCGGCCUGCGGGGGGGGUCGGGCACACGGGGACUGAGAUACGGCCCAGAGUACUACGGGAGGAAGAAGUGGGGGAUAUUGCACAAUGGACGAAAGUCUGAUGCAGCGACGUCGUGUGGGGGAUGAAGGCCUUCGGGUUGUAAACGCCUUUCGCCAGCGGAAUGGUAGUGGGUAAAGAAGCGCCGGCUAACUACGUGCCAGCAGCCGCGGUAAUUC